rnacentral:tRNA from 2 species
GCCGGUGUGGUGGAACAGGCAGACACAAGGGACUUAAAAUCCCUCGCCCUAAAAAGCGUACCGGUUCGAUCCCGGUCACCGGCACCA